rnacentral:rRNA from 1 species
CACCAGACUCCUACGGGAGGCAGCAGUAGGGAAUUUUGCGCAAUGGGCGAAAGCCUGACGCAGCAACGCCGCGUGAUCGAGACGCCCUUCGGGGUGUAAAGAUCUGUCAGUGGGGACGAAACUUGACGGUACCCACAGAGGAAGCUCCGGCUAACUACGUGCCAGCAGCCGCGGUAAUACGUAGGGAGCAAGCGUUGUCCGGAUUUACUGGGUGUAAAGGGUGCGUAGGCGGCUUUGCAAGUCAGAAGUGGAAUCUAUGGGCUUAACCCAUAAACUGCUUUUGAAACUGCAGGGCUUGAGUGAAGUAGAGGUAGGCGGAAUUCCCGGUGUAGCGGUGAAAUGCGUAGAGAUCGGGAGGAACACCAGUGGCGAAGGCGGCCUACUGGGCUUUAACUGACGCUGAGGCACGAAAGCGUGGGUAGCAAACAGGAUUAGAUACCCCAGUAAA